UGGAUGGAGCCAUUUUCCUAAGAGAUUUGAAAAGUCUCGUCAGCAUGCAGUGUGCCUAGUACAUUGUGUUUACUUCUGCGCUUCUGAUUGGAUCCCACAAUAAUAUGUUGGCAAAGCCCGUACAAUAGAUUGUUAUAAUAAAUAAUUUAAUGGGCUCUUCGUUCUGUUAAGAAGAUUCUGUCUUCAUAGGUCGUGGGUUGCUUGUAAUAACCUGUUGCAUAUUGAGAAAUGCCAUUCCUGGGGAACACAGACUGGGAGAUGUGGGGUUUCUCUGGGUACCAAGCAAGCUGUCUUAUUCGCCCUGCCAUAAGGGUCGACUCGCCUCAUCUCCGUAAUGUUGAUUCAGAAUCAGUCAUCAAAGAAAACUGGUGAAAAACACCUGCUUCAUUGUGUGUGUGUGUGUGUGUGUGUGUGUGUGUGAGUACCAAAGAUAAUAAUGAAUGAAGUACUAUAACUAAUGUAAUUAUAUGGUGUGUGUUGUUUUGCUACACAGUACAUAAGCAUGCUGGUAGAUCAGCAGUAAUUUUGACAUUGGUUGUCAUAAAGCCUACUUCUAAUCUCUUUUGCUCAAUGAUGAUCAUUGAAAUAGCUGUAUCUAGAAACUAUAAUACACUGUACAGGCAAAGCAACAAACUCAUCACAACAGGAAAAAUCUUUGAAUUACCCCAUUUUAAACAUUUGGUUUACUGCGUGGGAACAACAUAGAGAUGCUAUUAUCAGCAGUAACUGUUCAUUAAUAAGUAAACAACCUUGUGCUACCUUAUUUAUAGACAUUUCCAAGGCCUUUGAUAUAGUUGACCACACCCUCAAAAUGAAAAUAUUAUGGGUUGAAUUUGAGCAGCUUCAAAAUGGUUUUCCAAUUUUCUUUCAAGUAGAAUUCAGGGUGAAAAUGUACACAGACAUAGAUCCCACUUCUUAGAAAUUACAAAAGGGGUCCCUCAGGGCUUCAUCCUGCGUCCAGUAUAAUUUAGGCUACUAUUCGUAUGAACAAUCCCGUUCAAGCUUUAAAUUAUUGAAGCUCUAAUACAGUAUCUAUUUAUAUGACACCAUUCUUUUUUUGGCGUACCUGUUCCCUUGCAAAGGGCUUCCAAGGGCUCCAGGAUGCAUUUAAUUCUAUACAGUCUGCUAUUUUGCUUUGUGACCAAAAGCAGGCUCAUCUUCACUACUUUUCUUUACCUGUUUUAGGCCAUGGAGACACGCUUUACAUGCACCACCAUGAACAUUCUACCCACCACUGGGAUUUUUAGGAACGAUCUGUAUGAACAUCAUUUUCACUUUGCCGAAGCUUUUAGAAAUGAGCAAUAAAUUAAUCUUUAGGCACAUUAUGGCAUGUUGUUAGAAAUCUAGAUAACAGACCACAAAGUGCACAUCAUUAAGAAUUUGCACCAACAUAUUCCUUCAUUUUGUGUAUAUUUGGAUAUUCUAACUAUUUGCAAAAGUCAGUGGCUUCAAGUUGCAACAAAACUUGAAAUUGGACAGUGAUAGCUAGUUUUUGUAUGGUCCAGUUUUUCUUGCAGUUUUACAUAUAAGGACAUGUGUUUUCAGUUUAAAAAAAAAAAAAGCUUGAUUUCAGGAUUCCAGUGAAAUGCCCCUUUAUCCAGUGACCCAGAGGCAUCCAGCGUUUCAUUACGCCCUAGGAGAGGAAACUUGUCGGAGAACCAGCCCUGUAAGUGUGUGCUACGCCUCCCUGUGCCCUCUCUGGCUCGGGCCUCAGACACCUGGCCUCAUACUCUGGUGAUGUUGGCCCAGGUUGGGAAAGAGUCCAGAACGAAUACAGCCCUGCCCCAGGUGUUAAUGGCCAGGGUGCAGCACAGGAUUCCAAUAAUGUUCAUCACAAUACCAGCCUUAGCCUGAAGAGAGAGAGAGUGAGAGAAAGACAGAGAGAGAGCGCGAGCAGGGGGUAAGGGGGGCAAGCAUAAUAUUGUAUGAAGAGUCACAGGACUCAGGGUACCAGAACCCCUCCACCCUCUUCUCUACAGCACCCAUAACCGGCAGUCCUCAUGUCUGGCCCAGUACAUCAUGGUGAAGGUGAACUGCACAUGAUAGUCCUUUUUCGUAUUUCUCUUCUUUUUUCCAUUUUAGUUAUCAUUAUUAUUUUCUAUACUCUUUAUGUGAAGAAAAGGGGUCCUCAAAUAAAAUUUUUAUUAUUAUUGUUAUUAUUAUUAUCUGUACAAGCGUGGCUAGGUUAUUUACAUGUAGUGCAUGCAAAGAAAUAUACAGUACAGUAUACGUGAAUAUACUUCUUUUUUAUUUGCUCUCUAGUGCUUUUUUUAGUGCUUGUAUUUACUCGACUGCUCUAUGCAGACAUACUUGACCUCAGGAGUGUAUAAUAUGUGUGGAUGUGAUGUGGACGUGUGCAGGCUCUCACCAUGUCAGAGGCCUGAAGGUAGCCAUAAGAGAAGACGAUGGCAUUGGGGGGCGUGGCCACAGGCAGCAUGAAUGCGAAGGAGGUGCUGAGAGUGCAAGGCACCAUGACAUACAGCGGGUUCAGCCCAAUAGACUGUGACUGUAACGCACAGAAAGACAAAUAUUACAUCAUAGCCAAUACACCUGGGUAGCAGACUAGAGGCGUAAACCUGUGGUUGAUUGGGUACAGUUUGACCAAAAACACUGAAAAUGAAUUGCAUGUUUAUUUUUGUGCUCAGUGCACUGUAAUCACUGGGGCAAAAUUCUUAGGUUACUGCAGACAUAUGUAAUUGCUUCUCAUCUUUCAGUCGCUGAAAGGGUGCACUUAAGUUCUCAGUCUGUUUGAUCUGACUCAUUACACACAUGCCCAAACAGGACAGCUUCAUACACACAUGUGCUUGGGAAGUAGGUAUACAUUUGGAACACUCAUAUGUUAUAUACACUUGUCCUCCAAGAUGGUUUUUCAUGACUAAACCAUCAAGGGAUGGUUCCCAUAAAUAUUAAUACACCAUGCCUGGAAUGUUUUUGGAACUUGUUUGGAACAAUAAAGACCUGUUUUAAGACU